AUAUACUAAAAUUUAUACUAAAAAUGGAACAAUGCAGAGAAGAUGAGCACAGCCCCUGCACAAGGAUGACAUGCCAAUUUGUGAAGCAUUCCAUAUUUUU